rnacentral:lncRNA from 1 species
CCGGUUUGAGAGUUUUCCUCAGUUGAGCUUUUAUAACUGAAAUAGGAGCAUACAUCAGUCCUGCUGUCUGUGGGGUGUAGAGAUGAAGAAAGAUUUUCAAACCCUUGAACUUUCUUGCCUGAAAGGAGUAACUGGAAAGCGUAUUAGCAUCAAGGACAACCUGGAUGGAACCAAAUAUAGGUCCUGUAUGUCCACAUAUCAAAGAGACUGGACCGUGAAGCAAACUGUUAAGGUAAAUAAAUCAAAGCUCAAAUGUUGACUUGAUGUCUUUAUAAGGCAGUGGUUCUCAACCCGCGGCCCGUCACGAAUUCAAAUGCGG